rnacentral:rRNA from 1 species
CAGUAGCCGCGGUAAUACGAAGGGGGCUAGCGUUGCUCGGAAUUACUGGGCGUAAAGGGAGCGUAGGCGGAUGUUUAAGUCAGAGGUGAAAGCCCAGGGCUCAACCUUGGAACUACCUUUGAUACUGGACAUCUUGAGUGUGGGAGAGGUAAGCGGAACUCCGAGUGUAGAGGUGAAAUGCGUAGAUAUCAGGAGGAACACCUGUGGCGAAAGCGGCUCACUGGACCAUAACUGACGCUGAGGCACGAAAGCUAGGGGAGCAAACAGGAUUAGAUACCCCGGUAGUCCCUGUCUCUUAUAC